rnacentral:rRNA from 1 species
CAAAGCGUAACGGAGGAGCACGAAGGUUAGCUAAUCCUGGUCGGACAUCAGGAGGUUAGUGCAAUGGCAUAAGCUAGCUUGACUGCGAGCGUGACGGCGCGAGCAGGUGCGAAAGCAGGUCAUAGUGAUCCGGUGGUUCUGAAUGGAAGGGCCAUCGCUCAACGGAUAAAAGGUACUCCGGGGAUAACAGGCUGAUACCGCCCAAGAGUUCAUAUCGACGGCGGUGUUUGGCACCUCGAUGUCGGCUCAUCACAUCCUGGGGCUGAAGUAGGUCCCAAGGGUAUGGCUGUUCGCCAUUUAAAGUGGUACGCGAGCUGGGUUUAGAACGUCGUGAGACAGUUCGGUCCCUAUCUGCCGUGGGCGCUGGAGAAUUGAGGGGGGCUGCUCCUAGUACGAGAGGACCGGAGUGGACGCAUCACUGGUGUUCGGGUUGUCAUGCCAAUGGCACUGCCCGGUAGCUAAAUGCGGAAGAGAUAAGUGCUGAAAGCAUCUAAGCACGAAACUUGCCCCGAGAUGAGUUCUCCCUGAGACUU